AUAUAUUGCUUAGGAAUAUUGCUUAGGAAUUUCUAUUGACUUUUUGUUCAUCACUUUUCAAUUUAAUUUUCUUAAAAUAUUGCUUAGGAAUAUUGUAUUCUGUUUUCUGGCGAUUGAAAGAAUGAAAUCAAUGAGAUCGCUUGCACUUCCGAUCAUUGGGUUCAUGUUUAUGGUACUUGUGAAGGUUAGCCGUGGACAGGGAGUUGCUACUGCUCCUUCACCUGCACCUCCAACCGGUGAUGGCGCCGCGAUCGAUCAAGGAAUUGCUUAUGUCCUCUUGCUUGUAGCACUGGCAAUUACAUACCUCAUCCAUUGAUGAUGUUCUCUCUUCUUACAAUUCUCUGUCAUUUACAUUUACAUACAAAUAAUAUUUAAAGUAAAUUCUUUAUUUUUCUCCUUUUUAUUUAUUUGGACACAGAGCCUAUAGCAGUUUUGUAUUUCUGCAUUCCUUGUAAAGAAAAAUUAUUUAAAUACAAAAAUAAUAAUAUAACUAACUUUUACUGUGUA